UUUAUCUAGUUUUGGUGGCUGCAUCUAUAUGGGCCACCUGUGGGGCAGGUUCUGAAUGGCUUUUCCUUCAGUCCCUGCUCCAAACUUUGCCUCCAUAUCCCCUGCUGUGAAUAUUUUUGUUCCCCCUUUCUAGAAAGAGUGAAGCAUCCGCACUUUGGUGGUCCUUCUUCCUGAGCUUCAUGUGGUCUUUUGAUUGUAUCUUGGGUAAUCCACACUUUUGGGCUAAUACCCAUUUAUCAGUGAGUGCACACCAUGUGUAGAUUAUCUCACUCAGGAUGAUAUUUUCUAGUUCAAUCCAUUUGCCUAUGAAUUUCAUGAGGUCAUUGUUUUUGAUAGCUGAGUAGUACUUCAUACUGUCAAUGUACCACUGUAUCCAUUCCUCUGUUGAAGGGCAUCUGGGUGAUUUCCAGCUUCUGGCUAUUAUAAAUAAGGCUGCUAUGAACAUAGUGGAGCAUGUGUCUUUGUUGUAUGUUGGAACAUCUCUUGGCUAUAUGCCUAGGAGAGGUAUAGCUAUGUCCUCAGGUAGUGCAAUGUCCAAUUUUCAGAGGAAACUCCAGACUGAUUUCCAGAGUGGUUGUACCAGUUUGCAAUCCUACCAAAAAUGGAGGAGUGUUCCUCUUUCUCCACAUCCUUGCCAGCAUCUGCUGUUACCUGAGUUUUGAUCUUAGCCAUUCUCACUGGUGUUAGGUGGAAUCUCAUAGAUGUUUUGAUUUGCACUUACCAGAUGAGUAAGGACGUUGAACAUUUCUUUAGGUACUUCUCAGCCAUUAAAUAUUCCUCAGCUGAGACUUCUUUGUUUAGCUCUGGAUCCCAUUUUUUAAUAGGGUUAUUUGGCUCUCUGGAGUCUAACUUCUUGAGUCCUUCAUAUAUUUUAGAAAUUAGCCCUCUAUCAGAUGUAGGAUUGGUAAAGCUCUUUUCCUAAUCUGUUGAUUGGUGUUUCAUCCUAGUGACAGUGCCCUUUGCCUUACAGAAGCUUUGCAGUUUUAUGAGGUCCCAUUUGUUGAUUCUUGAUCUUAGAGCAUAAGCUAUUGGUGUUUUGUUCAGAAAAUUUUCCCCAGUGCCCAUGAUAUCAAGACUCUUCCCCAUUCUUGUACAUUCAAAAAGUACAGUACCUUGUAUGCUUUGAUAUUUCAAUAUUUAUUCCAACAAAAGUAAUUAAUCCAUUGCUUUUGAGUUUAGCCUCACUUAAAUUUUCAGGCCACAAGCAAAUUAUAUACAAAUUCUGUGUCAGAAUGUAACAUAAAUGCUUUCUAGUCUAAUUCCUGAUGCAGAUCUUGCUCCUGUCUUAAUCCCAUGGAGCACAGUCUUCACCACUUACAUUUCUGUGAGAACUCCAUCACUCAGAACACCGAUCAGUAUGACCCAUAAGUUCUGUUUGCAGCAGACUCUGACUGUAGCCUGCCACAACCUUAACCAUUUCCAAAUUUCUGCCCAAAGCUUAAGAACUGCUUCAUCAAGUUGAGUCUCAACUAUAACAUUGAUUUUCUAUAUCAGCUAAUUAUGCAAUAUUGUGAUCAAGUACUCAAUAGAAAACAGAAAAAAAGUUUUUUCCAUUCAUUAUGGUGAGGAAGGCAUAGCUGAGUAGCUUAGCUUGUGGCAUAAUGAGCAUGUAGCAGAGAUUCUUUUUAUCACAACAGUCAAGAUGUGGAGAAUGAUGGAGGAAUCAAAUGAAGAUCAGCCUUUGAAGCGCAUUAUGAUCUAACAACUGCUUCUCUGCCAUCUCUCCUAAGGGUUUUACAGCCUCUGUGGAGAUUUCAGAUCCACCCAAUAGCAAACAUUGAUUACAUAAAUCUAGAAAUGAUUAAGCAUGGACUCAAGCAUCUAGUGACCACCAGAAAUCUUUGAAGACUACUUAUAUAUGUGGUUUUAGUUUUUAAUACUAGCUAAACUGACCAAAGACAGUAUAAUAUUUUAUGCUAACUUUGAACACAAACUACUUUAAGACUGAACAUCACAAUUUUGUGUUUUAUUUUAUUUUAUUUUUACUUUAAAACAUCCUUUGGUGCAUUUUUCCACUAGGAAAAUAAGGGAAGGUAAUGUUCAUCUAACAUCAUUUCAACAAAGCUCUUUGUUUCUGCAUUUACAUUAUGUGCCUUCCUGAGAGAUUCCCAGGAAAAAGUUGAUUUUUUAAAAAGUGUAACCUUAUUCAUCCCUUCUGCAGACAACAAACCCAGACACCAUUGCUGAUGCCAAGAAGCAUUCACUGACAAGAGCCUGGUAUAGCUGUCCCCUGAAAGGCUCUACCAGAGGCUGACCAAUAAAUGGAGAUGUAUGCAACCAAACAUAGGACUGAGUGCAGGACCCCAUAGAGAAGUUAGGGCAAAGACUGUAGGAGCUGAAAGGGUUUGCAACCCCAUAGGAAGAACAACAAUAUCAACCAACCAGACCCAAUAAAGCUCCCAAGGACUAAACCACCAAGCAAAGAGUACCCAUAGCCCCAGCUCAAUAUAUAGCAGAGGAGCAUCUUAUUUGACAUCACUGGGAGGAGAACCCCUUGGCCCUGUGGAGGCUUGAUGACCCAGCGUAGGGGAAUGCUAGGUUGCUAAGGCAAGAGUGGGUAGGCAGGUGGGGGAGCACUUUCAUGGAGGUAGGGAGGGGACAGGAGGUUUGUGGAAGGGAAACUUGGAAGCAGGAUAACAUUUGAAAUGUUAAUAACUAAAAUAAUCAAUAAAGAAUGAAAAAGAAAAGGGGUUGGGGAUUUAGCUCAGUGGUAGAGUGCUUGCCUAGCAAGCACAAGGCCCUGGGUUUGGUCCCCAGCUCCGAAAAAAAGAAAAAAGAAAAAAAAAUGAAAAAGAAAAAGUAGAACCUGGAGUAAAUUGGUUAUGUAACAAAGGAUAGCAUAAUAAGGUUGUGACAAAGGUAAAUGCCAGUUGUGAGCGAUCAAUAACCAUAAGACUAAAAUGAGAAGGUAGAACUUGCAGUCAAAAUAUGGAAAAGGUUAGAGGAUACCACAAAUAAAAUGCCAUGUGCUGUCUGAUACAAUACCCUCAUGAUAUAAUUUGCACUCUGUAAAUGCUUGUAAAUACUUUGAGAGGAUUCCUCAUUUUGUAUUAGUUUUGUCCCAGAACUAUCUGGAAUGGCUAAAAGAAUUUAUCAUAUUAGGAUCAUUUAUCCAUUAAUUUUUAUUCAUCACACAGCAAUCUUAUUUAUUGACAAAUUAAAUGUGCAUUUGCCAUAUAUAACAUAAUUUGGAAAUAUGUUUGUGUGGGAUGAUGUCACAGGUGAGGCAGGUACAAGAUAGAAUGAGGCCUGUCAUUGGAUGAGAAGAAAGGAUGGUGGGAGAAAAGUUUGAGGGAAGGGGAGGAGACUGGAAUGGAAAGGAGGAAGAGAGAGAAGGGAGGGAGAGAAGCUGCCGCCGGUUGACAACAUGGAAGCUAACGUUAAGAUUCCACGCUGUACCUUUACAGUUUGUUAUGAAUGCUCUUCAGGAAUGGAUGUGUACAGGGCUUUGUAUGUUUAGGUGGGCAAUUAUGUCUUAUCAAUUAGAUCAAAGGUUAUUGUGUUGUGUGUUCUUUCUUGUAGCAAUUUAAGAGCAUGUGCAGCAGCUAGAGGCACUGGGCUACCAUCGAGUUGGGAUGUAUGUUUCUGGCAUGGAAACCUGCCUUGGGAACUAGAUAGGUAGAGAGAUUGCUGCCAGGCUCAGAGAGAGGCCUUUGGCAGUGUGAUAUGGGAUGGGGCAAAGCGAGUGAGACGCUUUGCUAACUGAGAUUAAGAUAUCUAUCAGAUGUUUCGGGGCACUACGGUGCCGGACCAAGUGGGGGUAAACGACAAGCCAUUUAUUAUAAUUAUACAACAACAUGUUUGCCUAAUGGAACUUUUAAGUCAAGCUAAUGUAUAGAUACUUUUGAAAGAUAAGAACACUUAAGAUCUAUUAUCCUGGGAUUUAUAUAGACAGACAAUGAACUGUUAUUAAUAAUGAUCUCAUGUAUACAAUAAAUAUCCUGAAUUUAAUUUUAUUAACAGAAUUUUAAAAAUAUUUUGAUCAAACUUUCUUUUCAUUUUCUACCUUUUCAAGUCAAUCACUGUUUUGCUCCCUUUUUAUUGAUUUUUAAGAUCUUAUGUAUAUGUAAUAUAAGAUAUACAGUAUUUAAUAUUUUUAACCUUAUCUAUCACCUACCAUCUCUCUCUAUCUACCUAUCAUAUAUCUACCUAUCAUAAAUCUAUCUACUUAUCUCUAUAUGUGUCUAUCCUUUCUCUGUUUACCUAUGUUUAUAUUAUAUAUACCAUUUCUCUAUCUUUCAAUAUCUAUCAUCAAUCUUUAUCAAUCUACCUACCAUAUCUCUCUCAUAUAUUUAUCUCUAUCAUCUAUAAAAUAAUCUAUCACCUAUAUCAUCUAUCUAUCUAUCUAUCUAUCUAUCUAUCUAUCUAUCUAUCUAUCUGUCAUCUAUCAUCUAUCAUUUAUCCUCUCAAAGCAUGUGAUAUUCAAAUUCUUGUGCCAGACAUAUUUUACUUAGUGAAAUAUCUAACUCAAUUAUUACAAAUUUCAGAAUCUCCUCCUUUAGUGUAUAUCGAUUACAUUUUUUUUAAUCAAGCCAUCAGUUGAUGGACAUUUAGUUGUUUUUUCUUGAGUUUGGCAAUGAAUAUUGCAGUAAUCAUGAGGAUGCGGGUGCUUCUUCACGUUGAUUUCUUUUUUAUGUGAGAUGGUGACCUAUGUUUUUAUCUCUUUGAAUACCUUAUUUUUCCUCUUUAAUAAUAUAAUAUAAUUUUCUAUAGAUAUGAGGCAAUGACUUGUUUACAAUUGCCAUUGGCAAAAGUAAUGCCCAAAGAAAUUAAGUAAUAAAUCAUGGGCCAAAACCAUAUAUAUACUUUCAAGUGGUACUAAGAAAUAAGAAUUUAAUAAUAUUCACAAUCUAAGUAUUCUAUACUUUCCACCAUUAUAAUAUGUCUCAUUAUAUCAGUUUAGUAUUCUGCAUUGCCUCAUGCACAGAAGCAUAACACUAAUCUAUUUUACAUUGUAAAAAGAUCUUAAAAUGAUCCAUGCUGUUUUCCAUAUAAUUUGAAAUCUAUCUUUCCUUAAGAUACUAUAAAAAGAACUUUUUGUACCUCCUGUUGGCUUGUGGGUAACAGAAGAGAACCACCCAGUCAUUUACAAUGGUAUUCUGGGCAAGAAGCAUGUUAUAAUCAUUCCACAAGUUGGUGGUCAUAAUAUGCACAGAAUGGAAUUUUCUUAGUUCCUUAAAUAACUAUCACAUUUGUCCAUAUGUUCAAACUUGUAGAGCACACACAGCUUUCUAUACAUGCUUUAUGGACUUCUCAUCUGCUUCUGAGAUUUAGAGUUUAAAAUUCCAGAAAAUUUAAAGUAGGAUCAUCACUAAGCUGUUCUAUAGUAAAUUGUGGAAAAUUGAGGUUUUAAAAAGAAAAGCCUGUGACUAACCAUUUCAGAGAGGAAAAGAUGAGGUAUGAUUUAUUAACUCUACUUAAGUAUGGAAUUAAUUUUUUUUUAGUAAAAGUAUCAUUUUUUUCCAACCACAGUAUAGGGAUUACUGGAAAGAUUUUAUGCUUAAGGGAGCCAAAAAGAAUUUCCUUACUGUGGUAAAGUUUGGAGUUAGUCAUCCAAAUCCAUGGCUCCCUCCUUACAUUCCUAAGAUAAACUUAGAGUUUGGCUUUGGAGUAACAUAAGUUUUUAGGGAGACGCAUGUCCAUCAUAUUCAAUGUCCUUAUUGCAAAGCCUUUAAAAGUUUAAGUGACUCAUUGCAAUGCUUAACUUAACACAUAUGUCUAGUUUAUACAAACGUGCCUUCUUGAACCAAACAGUGGAGUCUACUCUAAUGUUUAUACAUGUCAAUGGAAGAUUAAAUUCACUCAGUGUAGCCACUACUAGUAGUAUUUCUUUUACAAAUAUUGUUUCUUAAAAAUAGAUGGCUCACUUUUGGCCAACUGGUAAAAUGUCUCGUGUCUUUUCUGGAGCCUCCCCUGGCAGAGCACACUGUCUUCUCUAGGUCCACUUACAGCUAAGUUUCAUCUUCUCUAAACAAUUCAUUUAUAACAAAUUUACAUAGACCAAAAAGUCAAUUUUAUGAACUUCUCUUCGAGAUUGUAUAGUUUGCCUGAAAAUUUAUUUCUAAGAAGAGGAGUAUGCUGAACAAAAUUUGGUCAGAGCCCUAAUGGAAAAAUAGCAUAAAGUCUGGAAAUGAUUUAACCUUCUGCCACAGAAUGAGGCCAGAGAAAUAGCAAGUUUUAUUGCAAGAGAAGAGGAUGCCUUGUCUUAUACAUAUAAUGAUAACUAUUUUUUGGCCAUAAUAAUAAUUCUUUUUAAAAGAAUUCCUAAUUCUGACUAAGACAGAAGGCCAUAGCAGUGAUGUAUUUCUUUAAAAAUUUAUUUAAAAAGACUUUGUCUCAAACAGUGUGGAAAAAUAGAUCUGGAAUUUGAUUAUUUUUAAUGGAUAAAUACCAAAUAACACAUUUUGAUGUCAUUUUUAAAAAUGAAGACACGGAAGGCUCCAGUAUUAGAUAGUUAUCUCUGUCCCCAAAACAAUAAAACACUUAGAAAGAAACUUAGGUGCCGAUGUAUUUUUAUAAAUGAAUAGGAUAGAUUAAAACCACUGGGUUACAAAAACAGCAAAGCUGUCUAUAAUGGGAAUAAUGUGGUGCAGCUUCAGCUAGCCAACUUGAUUGGAUAAAGUCAUUUUCUUGGUGGACCAGAUAACUUUCAGUAAAAUACUCAUUCCACAGAAACAUUUUGGCAAAUGUAACAAGAUAUGCUGCUUUACUCCUAGUCCCUUAAAUGAAGAUGCCAUGUAAAUUAUGUUUCUAGGGGCAUAAACAAAACAAAAGAAAACUUCCAACAUUCUCUUCAGUUAAUAUCCUGAGCCCAUAGCUUUAUGGCAUUUCUUUUUUAAAUUUGGGAGCUAGAGAUCUCUCAGAGUUUAAGAAUACUACCUAACAAAUGUUCAUAACUCCAAUUCCAGGAAACUUGAUUUACUCUUUGAUCUCCAAGAGCAUUUCAUACAUUCAGAUUCUCAUGUAGCAACUAGGGCUUUAAGCUCCUGAGACCCCUGUGUAUCUUGCCCAGAAGACAAUUGGCUGGCUUGCAAAACUGCCUAAGUCCUUCUUCCCAGGAGUAGCACUACCCAGAGUGAGAUGGGUCCUCCUUACAUCAAUUAGCAAUCAAGAAAAUGUUCAACAUCCUUAGUCAUCAGAGAAAUGCAAAUCAAAACAACCCUGAAAUUCCACCUCACACCAGUCAGAAUGGCUAGGAUAAAAAUUCAGAUGAUAACAGAUGCUGACAAGGAUGUGGAGAAAGAGGAACACUCCUCCAAUGUUAGUGGGUUUGCAAGCUGGUACAACAACUCUGGAAAUCAGUUUGGAGGUUCCUUAGAAAAUUUGUCAUAGGACUACCUGAGGACUCAGCUACAUCACUCCUGGGCAUAUACCCAAAACAUGCUUCAACAUCAAGGACACGUUUUCUACUAUGUUCAUAGUAGCCUUAUUUAUAAUAGCCAGAAGAUGAAAAGAACCCAGCUGUUCUUCAAUGGAGGAAUGGAUACAGAAAAUGUGGUACAUCUACACAAUGGAGCACUGCUCAGCUAUUACAAACAAUGACUUCAUGAAAUUCUGAGGCAAAUGGAUGGAACUAGAAAAUAUCACUCUGAGUGAGCUAACCCAAUCACAAAAGAACACACAUGGUAUGUAGUCACUGAUAAGUGGAUAUUAGCCCAAAAGCUCGGAUUACCGAAGAUACAACCUAUAGAGCACAUGAAGCUCAAGAAGGACGACCAAACUGUGGCUGUUUCAGUCCUUUUUAGAAGGGGAAACAAAAAUAUUCACAGGAGGAGAUAUGGAGACAAAAUUUGGAGCAGAGACUGAAGGAAAGGCCAUUCAGAGCCUGUCACACCUGGGGAUUCAGCCCAUACAUACAGCCACCAAACUCAGACAACAUUGCUGAUGCCAAGAAGUGCAUGCUGACAGGAGCUUGAUGUAGCUGUCCCCGAGAGGCUCUGCCAGAGCAUGACAGAGGUGUACUCUCAGCCAAUCAUUGAACUGAGAACGAGAUCCCCAUUGGAGCAGUUAGAGAAAGGAUUGAAGUUGCUGAAGGGGUUUGCAACUCCAUAAGAACAACAAUACCAACCAACCAGAGCUCCCAGGGACUAAACCACCAUCCAAAGAGUACACAUGGACAGACCCAUGGCUCCAGUUGCAUAUGCAGCAGGGGAUGGCUUUUUUGGGGCACUAAUGGGAGGAGAAGCCCCUGGUCCUGCCAAAGCUGUAACCCCCAUCUCCAGUGUAGGGGAAUGUCAGGGCAGGGAAGAAGAAAGCGAUGGGUGAUUGGGUGAGGGAACACCUUCAUAGAAGACAGGGAAGGGGAUAGGAUAGGGGUUUAUGGGCAGGGAACUGGCAAAGGGGAUAACAUUUGAAAUGUAAAUAAAUAAAAAAUACCCAGUAAAAAAAAAAAAAGAAAAUGCCCCACAAGCAUGUCCUCACUCUGCUGAGAUAAAAGCCAUUCCUCAGUUAAGGUUCUCUUCUCUCUUCUCUUCAAAUGGCACAGCACCCAGCCACACUUGCAGAAGGAAGCUAAUUUUUUUUCUUGUAUUUUUUUCUUUUUUUGUACAUUUUCCUCUUUUCGAUAGUAACUUCUCUGCUCUCAAGGGCACUUUUGGUCCACAGGGGAUCAGGGGCUCUUUGCAGAUAAAUAGGUUAGUAUGUGUAAACAGUUAGUUGAUGUUAGUCCUACUUAAUUGAAAUAAACUCAACUCUUUGAUGCACUGAACUGUUCCAUUGGGAUGCUGGAAAUGAAUGGUGUUAGAUGUGGUUGUCCCUUGGAGUAGGGUUGGAGACUGAUCAAGCGCUUCAGCUACAGGAAUAGGCCAAAGUUGGGCUAGGUGUUGGCCCAGGUUAUUUGGCUAUGACAGCUGAAGCUGACACCUAGCUCUCUUGGACCAUGGUGCAUAUUUGCCCUUUCUCACCACAUUGUUCCCUGACACUUGAUUAUUUUGUGGCCAGCUGCAAAUUCUUCUUCCUGGUAAAAGAGAAAUAAAAUCUCCAACACAAUCAAACAACCAAUCACCAAAAGAAUAUUACAUCAUAAAUCUUCGUCAGUGUACACAGAUAUAGAUACAUACUACUGUUCUUCAUAAUUUAAAGGGCAAGUUUCAGUUAUGAAGUUGCAGAUUGAAAUUUUCAGGAGUCAUAGGAUCAGAAUUAUGACUAUAAGUAAAUUAUAUAUGUAUAUAAUAUAUUAUAAUAUACUAUUACAUACUUAAUAUAUAUUAAUUAUACAUGCAUGUAUAAAAAGUAAACAUAAAGUAAAAAGUGAAUAUGUAUAAUUGUAAUAUGUAAUGCAUAUGUUAAUAUAAUACAUUAUCAUAUUAAAAUUUAUAUAUGUUAUAUUUUAUGCAUAAUAUUUAAUAUUUACUAUAUAUUACAUAAACUUGUGUAUUAUUUUAUAUCAUAUAUGAUAAAUAAUAUAACAUAUAUUUAACAUAUAAUUUUUACAUCUAUUUAAUAUAUUAUAUAUUAUACAUAUAAAUAAUAUCUAUUGAGAACUAGCUUUCUCUUGUCCUCAAUAAAAUAAUUUGGUAUAUAUCAUUAGCUAAGACAUCUGUUUUGAAGAGAAUAUCCUCUUCAAAUAAUAUGUUGUAAAUAAACUAUUAUAUAUACAAAUUAGAUAUUAUGGAGUAAUUCAAAUAUUAUCACAAAUAAUUUAGUUUUUAUGGACUAGUGGAAGGAGUAUGUAAUUGGUGAUCACUCUCCCAAAGUGCUUUGCCUUAUCAUCUGGAAACAUAUUUUUGUGCCAACAGAAAUUGAUUUCAUAAUGAAAAUCACAUAAAUUACCAUAAUAGAAAAUAUUUUUCACAGUGAAUUUAAAUUUACUUGUACCACAGAAUAAGAUUCAAUGAAUGAAAAAGUAGUAAGUGUACAAUCAAUAAAAGUUGCUACUGUGCAGCUAAAGGAAUUCUUCAUUAGGUAACAUGUUUUCAUACAUAUUUCUUUGCAGCCUUUUAUUAUAAUUAGAAUUUUUUUUUGAAAAAUAUAUGCUGUGUAAACUGUUAAUGUAUGAUAGCUGCUUCAUGGGCUGGGUACCUAUUAUGUUUUGUUUGUUUGUUUGUUUGCAUUUUCUGUUUUUGCUCUUUUGUUUGUUUGUUUUUGUUUUGGUUGUUUUUUCUGACCUCUAGAAUCUGGUCUAUUUCUUUUCACACUGCAGUGAUGAUGUGAUUAAAUCUGUUGUAAUAAAGAUUUCAAAUUCAGAGUAAAACAAAACGUGUUUUACAGUCAUGUCUUAGGAUUACAUUUGAGUAUAUUGAAUCUCUGAGAAGUGUUUAUUUAUAUUUAGAUAGAUAGUAUUCUUCUUGAUAAAACACAUAUUUGAAUGAAUUGAUAUACUAA